GCCCCCACUUCUAGGCUUGGUUGAGCCGCGCAGGAAGGCUUCGAGGGUCUGGCUUGAGCAGCACAGACAGGGACGUGUCUAACCGGGAUGACCAUGAGGUCUCAUCGCAGUUUGCCACUAACCAGGACCCUAGGAGUGCUGUUUUAUUGUCUCCACCUGACAGAUAAGGAAAUGGCAGCUGACCCAGGUCAAGGAAGUUCCUGAGGUCCCAGGGCUAAUAAGUGGCCUGACUCCACCACCAGCCCCCAGGAGGAAGCCAACCCCAGCCCUAGAAAAACCCAAUUCCUGAGUGAGUGCUGUAAACCAAAAAUAAAAUUCUAAGCUUCC
rnacentral:lncRNA from 1 species